UACAGAGACUGCAAGCGUUGUUCGGAUUCACUGGGCGUAAAGGGUGCGUAGGCGGCGCGGUAAGUCGGGUGUGAAAUCUCGGAGCUUAACUCCGAAACUGCAUUCGAUACUGCCGUGCUUGAGGACUGGAGAGGAGACUGGAAUUUACGGUGUAGCGGUGAAAUGCGUAGAUAUCGUAAGGAAGACCAGUGGCGAAGGCGGGUCUCUGGACAGUUCCUGACGCUGAGGCACGAAGGUCAGGGGAGCAAACGGG
rnacentral:rRNA from 1 species